AGCGGACGCUAGCGGCGGGCUUAACACAUGCAAGUCGAGCGCUUCACUUCGGUGAAGAGCGGCGGACGGGUGAGUAACACGUAGGUUACCUGCCCCUGGGUGAGGGACAACCGAGGGAAACCUCGGCUAAUACCACGAUAUGGUCUACGGAUCAAAGGCUUCGGCCGCCCGGGGAUGGGCCUGGCGUCCCGAUUAUUUAAUCCUAGUUGGCGGGGUAACGGCCCACCAAGGGUACGAUGGGUAGCUGGUCUGAGAGGAUGAUCAGCCACACUGGAACUGAGACACGGUCCAGACUCCUACGGGAGGCAGCAGUGGGGAAUAUUGCGCAAUGGGCGAAAGCCUGACGCAGCCACGCCGCGUGAGUGAUGAAGGCCCCAGGGUCGUAAAGCUCUGUCGGGGGGGAAGAAGUUCUGACGGUACCCCCCAAGAAAGCACCGGCUAACUCCGUG
rnacentral:rRNA from 1 species